UUUUAUAAAUUUAACGACUCUAGAUAUUCUAACAGACUUAUUUUCAAUAUAUUACUAAAAAAUUUCAACUAUAAAAAGUUGAAAUUUACUUUAAACUUUAGUAGAAAGCGCUAGCUUCUUAAAGAGACAUUUUCUUACAAUGAAGAACAUUUUUAUUUCAAUUUUACUACUUUAUUCACUUCAAGCAAAAGAAGUAAAAAGUGAUGAAGAAAAAGGCGUUGGCUCAACGAAACAAAAAUGGAGUGAAGUGACUGUCCGAGAAGGCGCUCACUACUUUUGGUGGUUGUACCACACUUCAUCUAGCAAGGCAGAUUCC